GUGGUUAAUUCGAAGCAACGCGAAGAACCUUACCAGGUCUUGACAUCCCGAUGCUUAUUUCUAGAGAUAGAAAGUUACUUCGGUACAUCGGUGACAGGUGGUGCAUGGUUGUCGUCAGCUCGUGUCGUGAGAUGUUGGGUUAAGUCCCGCAACGAGCGCAACCCCUAUUGUUAGUUGCCAUCAUUCAGUUGGGCACUCUAGCGAGACUGCCGGUAAUAAACCGGAGAAGGUGGGGAUGACGUCAAAUCAUCAUGCCCCUUAUGACCCGGGCUACACACGUGCUACAAUGGUUGGUACAACGAGUUGCGAGUCGGUGACGGCGAGCUAAUCUCUUAAAGCCAAUCUCAGUUCGGAUUGUAGGCUGCAACUCGCCUACAUGAAGUCGGAAUCGCUAGUAAUCGCGGAUCAGCACGCCGCGGUGAAUACGUUCCCGGGCCUU
rnacentral:rRNA from 1 species